CCCUUAGAUGUCCUGGGCGGCCCGCGCGCUACAAUGUCAGCUACUGAAGGUUAAUGCUUUGAAAGAGAGCGCGCUCUCCUUUUAAUUGCCCGCAUGCUGGGAUAAAUGAAUGCAAUUUUGUUUUGAACGAGGAAUUCCUAGUAGCCAUGUUUCACUAGAAGAUGGCGAAUGUGUCCCUGCCCUUUGUACACACCGCCCGUCGCUCCUACCGAUGAGCGUUUUGGCGAAGACGGUUUGAGUAGCUGCGUAAUUUCGUGUUGUUGACUCCGGCAGUUUGAGCCUUCACGUUUAGAGGAAGGAGAAGUCGUAACA
rnacentral:rRNA from 1 species